rnacentral:lncRNA from 1 species
UAGUCAGAUGUGGCGAAGCGAUAAGAACUAUGAACUGUAUACUGUAUACUGCAAAUUGUGAAAUGUGAACUGAAUUGUGACAUAUUCAUGAGUUAGAGGGGAUCCGUCCUACUCUCAUUGAUAUUGGCAGAAAUGCAUCGUGUGGUGAAACUAUUUUAAUAGGAUAUAAACCGAUACGAAUGAAUAAAAAGUCAUGUGUAACGUUUAUGAUACUGAAACACUGAAUUAGUAUCUACUAAAUUGCUUACUGUUUAAAUUGUGAU